rnacentral:snRNA from 12 species
AAAUUUUUAAUCUCUUUGAAAUUUAUCUUGGUGGGACCCUUUUGUCAAGGCAAUUGAGUGUUCCCGA